rnacentral:tRNA from 1 species
GGAGGGGUCGGAUAACGGCUAUUCCAACGGUCUUGAAAACCGUCGCCCGAAAGGGCUUGUGAGUUCGAAUCUCACCCCCUCCG